UUUUAUUCCCAUGUGAUCACUUAAUGCUAAUAAAAGGUGGCAGCUGUUUCUUGUGGGAGAAGGCAAAUGGAUUGACCUACAGCAGGUCACAUUUAUCUGAGAUCAUCUGAGAAGCACUCCCACCUGAGUGAGAGGAGACUAAAAGAGGAAUAGUGUAAUGUCAUCUUUUUUCAUUUACAAACCCUUUCUGCGCAUUUCAGAAAGAACAAUUACCUUGCAAAAUGUAGUGCCUUACAGCUUGUGGCUGUCGUGUAGAUACAAAGAUCUUAAAUAACAUUGUUGGUUAGCAUAUUUGUUUUUCUAAACACAACACUUAGAAAGGAAACUCCUCAACUUCACUUGUUCAAUUCAUUGCCUACAGCAGAAAUAUUUUCUCCAAAGUUUCUUGGGCAAACAGACUAAGUUUUGGGAGGUUGUUUCCAAUUGCUUGCUUAGUAAAGGGAGAAAAUUUGCUGCCUGUGGGCGGGUGAUUUCUGAGACAAUGAAUAUGCUGAAUGUGGUCUGUCUUACCAGCAUCAGAAAGAUGGAUCCAUUUUAAUGAAUGCAAAACCGAGUGCAGCUUCAUACUCCCAGGUGUGGUGAAAAGCCCUCCCAGUAGUGGUGCUGUGGAACCUUAUUACUGAAAGCAAAACAUAUCUAACAUCCAGUCUUGCAGUGGUUACUCAGAUCCGUUUGAGGGUGGAAGGAAGGAGCAGUCACUCCAUGCAUUGAGCCGGUUACUUCAAAGCUGGGACACAUCUUGAAUGAGAAAGUUGAUCUCAUGGCUGUGCAAGCUUCAUCUGCUCCUGGUACUCUCAGCUGAAGAUAGAAGCUUGGUGUUUUUCUCUUGGAGAAGCUGGUGCUUUCUUACUGGAGAUGCUGUUCUGGAGAUGACUGUUUGUGUGACUUUAUUUUCAAUUUUUCCCUUUCCAAAGUACCAAUAAAAGGAAGAGGCUGACAGCCCUUUUCCCGGCCUGUGGUGACAUCUCAAAGGAACUUGUUCAGGCAUUGCUCACAACAUGCAUAGACUUCCACUUUGCGAGACACCUUAUCCUCUUCUCCGUCUCUCCUUAUGAUUCACUAUUGCUGUGAUGCCUGCUGGGGACUUCCAGCUGAGAAGGUGAGAUAGACACUGGUGAGCUGUAGUGUAAGCAAUUACAUUGCAGGAAAAUUGUGCUUAUUUAUUGUGGUUGCUUCCUACCUGUUCUUCAUUUCUACCUGCUUCUUAUUUACCUAUUUUUUCUCAUAACAGUGAGCUCUGGGGGUGUGGAAGCAGCGAGAGUGGCGAAGCUACUGAAAUCAAAAGUGAUACUACUGAUAGAACUUCAGAGCCAAAAUCAUGUACAGAAAUUAUAUGCAAAAAUAUAGAUUGGUCUAUUCCUAACUAAUCAACACUACAAGAUACGUGUGUGCAUCCAUACUGGUAAAGGUACUGCCUGUCACAGAAAUAUAACAUGGUAACAUUUUAUCUGAGAGGGC
rnacentral:lncRNA from 1 species